UCGUCAGCUCGUGUCGUGAGAUGUUGGGUUAAGUCCCGCGAACGAGCGCAACCCCUGCAUUCAGUUGCCAUCGGGUAAUGCCGGGCACUCGUGGAAGGACUGCCAUCGACAAGAUGGAGGAAGGUGGGGAUGACGUCAAGUCAUCAUGGCCCUUAUGUCCAGGGCGACACACGUGCUACAAUGGCCGGCACAACGGGAAGCGAGUUCGCGAGGACGAGCGGAUCCCUCAAAGCCGGUCGCAGUUCGGAUUGAAGUCUGCAACUCGACUUCAUGAAGCUGGAAUCGCUAGUAAUCGUGGAUCAGCCAAGCCGCGGUGAAUACGUUCCCGGGCCUU
rnacentral:rRNA from 1 species